rnacentral:rRNA from 1 species
UUAAGCGACUAAGCGUACACGGUGGAUGCCUAGGCAGUCAGAGGCGAUGAAGGGCGUGCUAAUCUGCGAAAAGCGUCGGUAAGGUGAUAUGAACCGUUACAACCGACGAUACCCGAAUGGGGAAACCCAGUGCAAUUCGUUGCACUAUUGCAUGGUGAAUACAUAGCCAUGCAAGGCGAACCGGGGGAACUGAAACAUCUAAGUACCCCGAGGAAAAGAAAUCAACCGAGAUUCCCCCAGUAGCGGCGAGCGAACGGGGAGGAGCCCAGAACCUGAAUCAGCAUAUGUGUUAGUGGAAGCGUCUGGAAAGUCGCACGGUACAGGGUGAUAGUCCCGUACACAAAAAUGCAUAUGUUGUGAGUUCGAUGAGUAGGGCGGGACACGUGACAUCCUGUCUGAAUAUGGGGGGACCAUCCUCCAAGGCUAAAUACUCCUGACUGACCGAUAGUGAACCAGUACCGUGAGGGAAAGGCGAAAAGAACCCCGGCGAGGGGAGUGAAAUAGAACCUGAAACCGUGUACGUACAAGCAGUGGGAGCACCUUCGUGGUGUGACUGCGUACCUUUUGUAUAAUGGGUCAGCGACUUAUAUUUUGUAGCAAGGUUAACCGAAUAGGGGAGCCGUAGGGAAACCGAGUCUUAACUGGGCGAAUAGUUGCAAGGUAUAGACCCGAAACCCGGUGAUCUAGCCAUGGGCAGGUUGAAGGUUGGGUAACACUAACUGGAGGACCGAACCGACUAAUGUUGAAAAAUUAGCGGAUGACUUGUGGCUGGGGGUGAAAGGCCAAUCAAACCGGGAGAUAGCUGGUUCUCCCCGAAAGCUAUUUAGGUAGCGCCUCGUGAACUCAUCUUCGGGGGUAGAGCACUGUUUCGGCUAGGGGGUCAUCCCGACUUACCAAACCGAUGCAAACUCCGAAUACCGAAGAAUGUUAUCACGGGAGACACACGGCGGGUGCUAACGUCCGUCGUGAAGAGGGAAACAACCCAGACCGCCAGCUAAGGUCCCAAAGUCAUGGUUAAGUGGGAAACGAUGUGGGAAGGCAUAGACAGCCAGGAUGUUGGCUUAGAAGCAGCCAUCAUUUAAAGAAAGCGUAAUAGCUCACUGGUCGAGUCGGCCUGCGCGGAAGAUGUAACGGGGCUAAACCAUGCACCGAAGCUGCGGCAGCGACACUUAGGUGUUGUUGGGUAGGGGAGCGUUCUGUAAGCCGUUGAAGGUGACCUGUGAGGGUUGCUGGAGGUAUCAGAAGUGCGAAUGCUGACAUAAGUAACGAUAAUGCGGGUGAAAAACCCGCACGCCGGAAGACCAAGGGUUCCUGUCCAACGUUAAUCGGGGCAGGGUGAGUCGACCCCUAAGGCGAGGCUGAAAAGCGUAGUCGAUGGGAAACAGGUUAAUAUUCCUGUACUUGGUGUUACUGCGAAGGGGGGACGGAGAAGGCUAGGCUAGCCGGGCGACGGUUGUCCCGGUUUAAGCAUGUAGGCGGAGUGACUUGGUAAAUCCGGUUGCUUAUCAACGCUGAGGUGUGAUGACGAGCCACUACGGUGGUGAAGUAGUUGAUGCCAAGCUUCCAGGAAAAGCCUCUAAGCAUCAGGUAACAUUAAAUCGUACCCCAAACCGACACAGGUGGUCAGGUAGAGAAUACUCAGGCGCUUGAGAGAACUCGGGUGAAGGAACUAGGCAAAAUGGUGCCGUAACUUCGGGAGAAGGCACGCUGGCAUUAGGUAAAGAGACUUGCUCUCGGCGCCGAAGCCAGUCGCAGAUACCAGCUGGCUGCAACUGUUUAAUAAAAACACAGCACUGUGCAAACACGAAAGUGGACGUAUACGGUGUGACGCCUGCCCGGUGCUGGAAGGUUAAUUGAUGGGGUCAGCCGCAAGGCGAAGCUCUUGAUCGAAGCCCCAGUAAACGGCGGCCGUAACUAUAACGGUCCUAAGGUAGCGAAAUUCCUUGUCGGGUAAGUUCCGACCUGCACGAAUGGCGUAAUGAUGGCCAGGCUGUCUCCACCCGAGACUCAGUGAAAUUGAACUCGCUGUGAAGAUGCAGUGUACCCGCGGCAAGACGGAAAGACCCCGUGAACCUUUACUAUAGCUUGACACUGAACAUUGAGCCUUGAUGUGUAGGAUAGGUGGGAGGCAUUGAAGUGUGGACGCCAGUCUGCAUGGAGCCAACCUUGAAAUACCACCCUUUAAUGUUUGAUGUUCUAACUCGGCCCCAUAAUCUGGGGUGAGGACAGUGUCUGGUGGGUAGUUUGACUGGGGCGGUCUCCUCCCAAAGAGUAACGGAGGAGCACGAAGGUUAGCUAAUCACGGUCGGACAUCGUGAGGUUAGUGCAAAGGCAUAAGCUAGCUUGACUGCGAGAGUGACGGCUCGAGCAGGUACGAAAGUAGGUCUUAGUGAUCCGGUGGUUCUGAAUGGAAGGGCCAUCGCUCAACGGAUAAAAGGUACUCCGGGGAUAACAGGCUGAUACCGCCCAAGAGUUCAUAUCGACGGCGGUGUUUGGCACCUCGAUGUCGGCUCAUCACAUCCUGGGGCUGAAGUAGGUCCCAAGGGUAUGGCUGUUCGCCAUUUAAAGUGGUACGCGAGCUGGGUUUAGAACGUCGUGAGACAGUUCGGUCCCUAUCUGCCGUGGGCGUUGGAAGAUUGAGAGGGGCUGCUCCUAGUACGAGAGGACCGGAGUGGACGAAUCACUGGUGUUCGGGUUGUCAUGCCAAUGGCAUUGCCCGGUAGCUAAAUUCGGAAGAGAUAACCGCUGAAAGCAUCUAAGCGGGAAACUUGCCUCGAGAUGAGUCUUCCCUGGGGCUUUAAGCCCCCUGAAGGAACGUUAAAGACUAUGACGUUGAUAGGCUGGGUGUGUAAGUGCAGCGAUGCAUUGAGCUAACCAGUACUAAUGAUCCGUGAGGCUUAACCUU